UUGCUUCCGCUGACGACCGGUGCACGGGUGCGUAACGCGUAUGCAACCUACCUCAUACUGGAGAAUAGCCCUUGGAAACGAGGAUUAAUGCUCCAUAGUAUCACAGAUUCGCAUGUUUCUGUGAUUAAAGAAUUUCGGUAUGAGAUGGGCAUGCGUCCCAUUAGCUUGUUGGUGAGGUAACGGCUCACCAAGGCAACGAUGGGUAGGGGGCCUGAGAGGGUGACCCCCCACACUGGUACUGAGACACGGACCAGACUCCUACGGGAGGCAGCAGUGAGGAAUAUUGGGCAAUGGAGGCAACUCUGACCCAGCCAUGCCGCGUGAAGGAUGACUGCCCUAUGGGUUGUAAACUUCUUUUAUAUGGGAAGAAACUUAUCUACGUGUAGAUAACUGACGGUACCAUACGAAUAAGGAUCGGCUAACUCCGUGCCAGCAGCCGCGG
rnacentral:rRNA from 1 species